rnacentral:lncRNA from 1 species
AUGGGACAUUCCCAGCCUGGCACGGAAUCCCGGGAUUUGCCGUCCUGGUCCGGAUCCCUGGGGAUCCUCACCUGCCCCGCUCGGCUGCUCCGGAGCCUCCGGAUCCCGCGGGAUGGAGCCGGAGCUCAGGGAACCGCGGCUGCUCCGGGAGCCUGGAAAAGAAGGAAACCCUUUGGAUCCCCAUUCCCAGCCGGGAUCCAUCCCCAACCGCCAAAAACCAUGAGAAGGAUCCGGGGGAUCCAGGGAUCCGCGGGAAUCCGGGAAUGGCUCGGGAUUCUCCAGCAUCCCUGGAAAUCCCGGAAUCCUGGAAUUCUGGAGUGGACCUCGGAUCCCAUUCCCUGCCCAGGGACAUUUCCCGAUCCCAGAUUCGUCCAAGUUUUCCUUGGAUAUUCCUGGGAUUUGGCUCAGCCUUUUUGGCCAUCCCCAUCCCCAUUCCCAUGGAAUCAGCUCCAUGGCGACGAUCCCUGCUCCCGGCCCCGCCCCAUCCCAAACAUCCCCAGCAGUUUCCCGGGAUUUCCACUGGGAAUUUUGCUGGAUCUUCCCAAACUUUUGUUUUUUUUUUUUUUUUUCUGGAAAAAUGGAUUUUUCCAUUGUUUUUCCAUAGUUUUCCAUCAUUUUUUGGCAGGAUUUUUUGGGAUUCGCGCAGCGCUUCCAGAGGGGCAAAUUCCCGGUGGGAAUCCCAGCGGGAUGGGGAAGAGCUCCAUGGAAUUCCAUUUCAUCCAGGGGAAAAACAAUUCCAGGCUUUUUCCUGACUGGAGUGGGAUUUCGGGAAUUCUGAGAGGAGGGAAAAGCCGGAACGAGCAGGACGAGCUCAUCCCGGAGAAUUCCGGAUCCAUCGGGAGGGCGGCCACAGCUCCCACCCAAAUUCCUUGGAUUUUAGACGAGUUUGGAAAAGCUUUGGAUACAAGAACAUGGCUGCCACCAUUCCCAGAAUUCUCGGAUUUCUUCAGAUCUCCUGGGAUCCCGAUUGAUCCCAAUCGAUCCCGAUUGAUCAAUCCUGAUUUUUCCCUUUCUCUGGCGCUGCUUUUCCCGGGAAUUCCGCUCCAUUCCAGCCUCAGAUCCAGCCUGGGAGCGUUCACCACCAACAAAGGAGCGCGGGAUUUCUGGGAAUUCCGGAAUCCCGGGAUCUGGGGGCCCCCGGAGCAGCUCCCCCCUCCCCCACCCUCCAUCCGGAGAUUCUUUCCCCCCUCAGGGCCGGAUUUAGGGAAUGACUCCGGAGCCGGGAAUCCGGGAUGGAGCUCCCGGGAUGAAUGGAACCAUUCAGGGUCGGAUGGAAUUCCAUGGAAAAAAGCGGGAAGGGGGAUGGGAACGCCCGGCCGGGCGGGUGUGAGUUACGGAUCCCAGAAUUCCCGCCAGGCCCCGGGAACGACCCUGAUGAAUUCCACUGAAUCCCAAUGA